CGCCAGUCUGCAUGGAGCCGACCUUGAAAUACCACCCUUUAAUGUUUGAUGUUCUAACGUUGACCCGUAAUCCGGGUUGCGGACAGUGUCUGGUGGGUAGUUUGACUGGGGCGGUCUCCUCCUAAAGAGUAACGGAGGAGCACGAAGGUUGGCUAAUCCUGGUCGGACAUCAGGAGGUUAGUGCAAUGGCAUAAGCCAGCUUGACUGCGAGCGUGACGGCGCGAGCAGGUGCGAAAGCAGGUCAUAGUGAUCCGGUGGUUCUGAAUGGAAGGGCCAUCGCUCAACGGAUAAAAGGUACUCCGGGGAUAACAGGCUGAUACCGCCCAAGAGUUCAUAUCGACGGCGGUGUUUGGCACCUCGAUGUCGGCUCAUCACAUCCUGGGGCUGAAGUAGGUCCCAAGGGUAUGGCUGUUCGCCAUUUAAAGUGGUACGCGAGCUGGGUUUAGAACGUCGUGAGACAGUUCGGUCCCUAUCUGCCGUGGGCGCUGGAGAAUUGAGGGGGGCUGCUCCUAGUACGAGAGGACCGGAGUGGACGCAUCACUGGUGUUCGGGUUGUCAUGCCAAUGGCACUGCCCGGUAGCUAAAUGCGGAAGAGAUAAGUGCUGAAAGCAUCUAAGCACGAAACUUGCCCCGAGAUGAGUUCUCCCUGACUCCUUGAGAGUCCUGAAGGAACGUUGAAGACGACGACGUUGAUAGGCCGGGUGUGUAAGCGCAGCGAUGCGUUGAGCUAACCGGUACUAAUGAACCGUGAGG
rnacentral:rRNA from 1 species